UAUUCAUGUAAAUAAAGUGCUUAAAAUUGUGACAAGAAUCCUUAGCCUACAUCUCAGAUAUGUUUCUGUUCUCACAACACUGAAAACAAGCAAGCUGCAGGAAGUUUCGUAAUGCUUGACAUUCUGGUUGGUGGCCAGCAAAAUGUACUGUUAGUUAUAUCAAUGACGUCUCCUUUCUUCCUCCCUUCAGUGUGCAAAAUCAGUUUCAGUGGCUUCAGUCUACUAUUCAAGGUAUUCAAUAAUCCGAGGGAGCGGCCUUUCACCUUUGAGGAGAUAGAUGAAGUUCGAGAAAUGUUGGCAAAAUUCAUUACCAGCGAUUGUAUUUGAUAUUUUCUUGUACUGAAUCUUAAAUCAUGGAUGUUAGCUAGUUUUUCAUAUGAUUGUAUCAACUUUUAUAUUUACAAUUAUAUACUAUUAAAUUUAAUUAUCUAUAUAAUAGGAUACUUUUUA